UUUUCCUAAAAUUCCCAAAACGCAGCCAUUGUCUUCCCCCUACUAUUUCGCCAGCAACUUGUCAGCACCUUUCCCCAAUUCUUUGAUUUGUCUUAUUUAUCUAUUUUUCUCUUUUCUUUCCUUAAUUGUUUUUUCCUCUUCAAAUCUGUAACGAAAUUGCUAUUGAGAGCCGAGAUUUUAGCUUCAAUUUUGGUCUAAAUCCCUGUUGUGAUUGAAGGUUUGCAUACUUUUCUUUCCAUCUCGGCAUCCGUAGGUUCAAAUUAGUUAGAUGAAUAUGGACAGGUUUUGAGGAUGGCCUAAUUCGAGCAUUGGGAGAGAAUUUGGAGUCACAUUAUUGUGCUGGAAUUUACUUUGCACCUGAAGCUCAUUAGUUUAGCCUGUGUUGUAAUGUUGGCCUUAUAAUGCUACAAAUAAUCUGGAAUUGUGUAAAUGGGAUAAUGGGGGCUGGAACUUCUUUGUCACUUUUGCUAUCGUGGUUUGUUUCUAUUUUUACUAAUCAUUGAAGUCAUGUUUUCAUUUUCAAUAUUAUUACCAUGCUUAUAGAAUUUAAGUAACAGGGAGAAGUGAUUUUC